UGAUCUGCCCCGCCCCUUCUUCAUAUAAGGUCGCCGAGGUGGUCGAGGAGGCGCUCAAGCUCGUCAUGCGCGCCGGCGACGCUGGGGCCCUCCCUCCUCCUGACGCACUUGCCGUCGCCGACAUGAGCGUCUCCACCUUCUCCCGCGCGCCAUGAACUUCCCUUCCCCACUGCUUAGGACGCCAGCAAGGAGCAGGAGUUCCUUCCUUCCAUGGAUGACCACGAAGAGCUCUGCGUGCUGUGCUGCUGCUCGGGACCCUCCCUUCUCAUCGCUCGUCCGGGUCCAGAUACAGAAGGUUUAGUUCAGUGGCUGUGCUGGACAGGAGGGGCCAGGGAAUUGCUUUAAGUUGUUCCAAGAGAUGUGAGCCUGAUAAAACGAUGAAAUAGCAGAUUUCCACUAUGGU